rnacentral:rRNA from 1 species
GACGAACGCUGGCGGCGUGCUUAACACCUGCAAGUCGAACGGAGUGGCGAACGGGUGAGUAACACGUGGGUGACCUGCCCUGCACUUCGGGAUAAGCCUGGGAAACUGGGUCUAAUACCGGAUAGUGUGGGAUGGGCCCGGGGCCUGUCAGCUUGUUGGUGGGGUAAUGGCCUACCCAGGCGGCGACGGGUAGCCGGCCUUUGAGGGUGGACGGCCACAUGCAUACUAUUACACAACCCGAACUCUUACGAGAGGCAGCAGUGGGGAAUAUUGCACAAUGGGCGGAAGCCUGAUGCAGCGACGCCGCGUGGUUGAUGACGGCCUUCGGGUUGUAAACUCCUUUCACCAUCGACGCGGUAGAUGGAGAAGAAGCACCGGCAAACUACGUGCCAGCAGCCGCGGUAAUUC